AUCAUAAGCACCAGUGACUGACAUAAUUGAUUUAGAGCAUAAAUGAAUUUCUGCUGCUUGCUUACUGGAGUCACCAUUCAUCCAGAAACAUGGUAAAGGACCCACGUUUCCAGUUGGUGGUCCUGUCAUCCUAUUAAAUCACUCUACAUUGAAAAGGCGAUGGAGAGACUGUGGUGGAUUCAUCCAUUGCUUUAUGUUGACCCAAGAAUUAUUUAACAUUCAACUCUUCCUCAGUGUAGCAAACGCUGUUGGCAGCUCCCCAUAUUUCUG